rnacentral:rRNA from 1 species
CCUACGGGCGGCAGCAGUGGGGAAUUUUGCGCAAUGGGGGCAACCCUGACGCAGCAACGCCGCGUGAGUGAUGAAGGUCUUCGGGUCGUAAAGCUCUGUCAGAGGGGAAGAAAUGCAGGUGGUGAACAACCAUUCUGUUUGACGGUACCCUCAAAGGAAGCACCGGCUAACUCCGUGCCAGCAGCCGCGGUAAUACGGAGGGUGCGAGCGUUGUUCGGAAUUAUUGGGCGUAAAGCGCGUGUAGGCGGUUUGUUAAGUCUGAGGGAAAAGCCCCGGGCUCAACCUGGGAAGUGCAUUGGAUACUGGCAGACUUGAGUACGGGAGAGGAGAGUGGAAUUCCCAGUGUAGGAGUGAAAACCGUAGAUAUGGGGAGGAACACCGGGGGCGAAGGCGGCUCUCGGGACCGAUACUGACGCUGAGACGCGAAAGCGGGGGGAGCAAACAGGAUUAGAUCCCCCGGUAGU